rnacentral:rRNA from 1 species
UCUACGGCCAUACCACCCUGAACGCGCCCGAUCUCGUCUGAUCUCGGAAGCUAAGCAGGGUCGGGCCUGGUUAGUACUUGGAUGGGAGACCAAAGCAACACAUUCUAUGAUGAGGUAAGAA